AUUGAACGCUGGCGGCAUGCUUUACACAUGCAAGUCGAACGGCAGCGCGGGGCAACCUGGCGGCGAGUGGCGAACGGGUGAGUAAUACAUCGGAACGUACCCAGAAGUGGGGGAUAACGUAGCGAAAGUUACGCUAAUACCGCAUACGUUCUACGGAAGAAAGUGGGGGACCUUCGGGCCUCAUGCUUUUGGAGCGGCCGAUGUCUGAUUAGCUAGUUGGUAGGGUAAAGGCCUACCAAGGCGACGAUCAGUAGCUGGUCUGAGAGGACGACCAGCCACACUGGGACUGAGACACGGCCCAAACUCCUACGGGAGGCAGCAGUGGGGAAUUUUGGACAAUGGGCGCAAGCCUGAUCCAGCGAUGCCGCGUGAGUGAAGAAGGCCUUCGGGUUGUAAAGCUCUUUUGUCAGGGAAGAAACGGCUGAGGAUAAUACCUUCGGCUAAUGACGGUACCUGAAGAAUAAGCACCGGCUAACUACGUGCCAGCCGCCGCCGUAAUAC
rnacentral:rRNA from 1 species